UGGGGAAUAUUGCACAAUGGGCGCAAGCCUGAUGCAGCCAUGCCGCGUGUAUGAAGAAGGCCUUCGGGUUGUAAAGUACUUUCAGCGGGGAGGAAGGCGAUAAGGUUAAUAACCUUGUCGAUUGACGUUACCCGCAGAAGAAGCACCGGCUAACUCCGUGCCAGCAGCCGCGGUAAUACGGAGGGUGCAAGCGUGAAUCGGAAUUACUGGGCGUAAAGCGCACGCAGGAGGUCUGUCAAGUCGGAUGUGAAAUCCCCGGGCUCAACCUGGGAACUGCAAUCGAAACUGGCAGGCUAGAGUCUUGUAGAGGGGGGUAGAAUUCCAGGUGUAGCGGUGAAAUGCGUAGAGAUCUGGAGGAAUACCGGUGGCGAAGGCGGCCCCCUGGACAAAGACUGACGCUCAGGUGCGAAAGCGUGGGGAGCAAACA
rnacentral:rRNA from 1 species